GUGAAGGCCCAGGUCUCGGACGCCGCGCGGAGCGGCUCGUACAUGAAGUGAUCGCCGUCGCCCAGCACGCCGAGCACGGUCUUGUCGCCGUACUUGCCCGUGCCGACGCGCUCGAUCUUGCCGUGCGCGAUCAGGCAGAUCGUGUCCGCCGGCGUGCCGGCCUCGACGAUCACGUCGCCGGGCUUGACGUCGCGCUGCACGAAGCGAUCGGCGAGAUCCUCCAGCACCACGCCGUCGUCGAAGCCGCGCAGCAACGGCAGCUCGCCGAGCUCGGCUGGGAUGACCCGCACGCUCGAUCCGACCUGCGUGAAGGUCACGCGCCCGUCCCCCACGGCGUAGGUGAGGCGCCGGUUCACGCGGAACGUGCCCGCCGAGACCUGCACCCAGGGGAGCAUCUUGAGCAACCAGCGGGGCGAGAUCCCCGCCAUCUGCGGCGGCGACUUGGUGGUGGUCGCGAGGUUGCGCGCCGCCGCCGUGGCCAAGCUCAGCUGCGGGUGCGCGCCGU
rnacentral:antisense_RNA from 1 species